GCCAGCCCGCUCAGAAACUUAAGGAAUUGACGGGGCCCGCACAAGCGGUGGAGCAUGUGGUUUAAUUCGAUGCAACGCGAAGAACCUUACCUGGUCUUGACAUCCCGGAGACCCUUAGGAAACUAGGGGGUGCUUCCAUCUGGAAGAAUCUGGAGACAGGUGCUGCAUGGCUGUCGUCAGCUCGUGUCGUGAGAUGUUGGGUUAAGUCCCGCAACGAGCGCAACCCUUGCCUUUAGUUGCCAGCAGUUCGGCUGGGCACUCUAAAGGGACUGCCGGUGUUAAACCGGAGGAAGGUGGGGAUGACGUCAAGUCCUCAUGGCCUUUAUGACCAGGGCUACACACGUACUACAAUGGCCGAUACAAAGGGCAGCGACACUGCGAGGUGAAGCCAAUCCCGUAAAAUCGGUCUCAGUCCGGAUUGGAGUCUGCAACUCGACUCCAUGAAGUUGGAAUCGCUAGUAAUCGUGGAUCAGCAUGCCACGGUGAAUACGUUCCCGGGCCUU
rnacentral:rRNA from 1 species